UAGUGGCAGCUUCGUUGUUGUAUAUGCGGCGCCAUUUAACUUGAACCUUUAGUAGUGACAUCACAUAUACGGCAACUAAGCUGCUACAUCGAG
rnacentral:pre_miRNA from 12 species